rnacentral:rRNA from 1 species
UACGGAGGGACCCAGCGUUGUUCGGAAUCACUGGGCAUAAAGGGCGUCUAGGCGGGCCUGCCAGUCGGGUAUGAAAGCCCUGGGCUCAACCCAGGAAUUGUGCCCGAUACUACGGGCCUUGAGUGCAGGAGGGGAGAGUGGAACUCCUGGUGUAGCGGUGAAAUGCGUUGAUAUCAGGAUGAACACCGGUGGCGAAAGCGGCUCUCUGGCCUGUCACUGACGCUGAAGCGCGAAAGCUAGGGGAGCGAACGGGAUUAGAUACCCCUGUA